CGGGCCGCAGCAGGCGCGAAACCUCCGCAAUGUGAGCAAUCGCGACGGGGGGAUCCCAAGUGCCAUUCUUAACGGGAUGGCUUUUCUUAAGUGUAAAGAGCUUUUGGAAUAAGAGCUGGGCAAGACCGGUGCCAGCCGCCGCGGUAACACCGGCAGCUCUAGUGGUAGCUGUUUUUAUUGGGCCUAAAGCGUUCGUAGCCGGUUUAAUAAGUCUUUGGUGAAAUCCUGUAGCUUAACUAUGGGAAUUGCUGAGGAUACUGUUAGGCUUGAGGUCGGGAGAGGUUAGCGGUACUCCCAGGGUAGGGGUGAAAUCCUGUAAUCCUGGGAGGACCACCUGUGGCGAAGGCGGCUAACUGGAACGAACCUGACGGUGAGGGACGAAAGCUAGGGGCGCGAACCGGAUUAGAUACCCGGGUAGUCCUAGCCGUAAACGAUGCGGACUGGGUGUUGGGAUGGCUUUGAGCUGUUCCGGUGCCGAAGGGAA
rnacentral:rRNA from 1 species